UACGUAGGGGGCAAGCGUUGUCCGGAUUUAUUGGGCGUAAAGAGCGUGUAGGCGGCUUUACAGGUCCGUUGUGAAAACUCGAGGCUCAACCUCGAGACGCCGGUGGAAACCGUAAGGCUAGAGUCCGGAAGAGGAGAGUGGAAUUCCGUGGUGUAGCGGUGAAAUGCGCAGAUAUCAGGAGGAACACCCGUGGCGAAAGCGGCUCUCUGGAACGCAACUGACGCUGAGACGCGAAAGCGUGGGGAGCAAACAGG
rnacentral:rRNA from 1 species